UACGAAGGGCGCGGGCGUAUUCGUUUUGAUUGGGUGUAAAGGGUAUGUAGGUGGUUGAAGCUUACUUUUUUGGCCGAAAGUGCGGAGUGUUCCUACGCAGCAGCCGAUUUUAGGAUUCAUCUAGAGUUGUGGUGAGGUCAGGGCAAUUUUGUGUGUAAGGGUAAAAUCUUACGAGCCACGAAAGAACACUAGCAGGCAGAGGCGCCUCUCUAACUACAACUGACGCUGAGGUACGGAAGCUUGGGGAGCAAACAGA
rnacentral:rRNA from 1 species